CAGUAGCCGCGGUAAUACGUAGGGUGCGAGCGUUAAUCGGAAUUACUGGGCGUAAAGCGUGCGCAGGCGGUUGUGUAAGACAGGUGUGAAAUCCCCGGGCUUAACCUGGGAACUGCGCUUGUGACUGCACAGCUAGAGCAUGGCAGAGGGGGGUGGAAUUCCACGUGUAGCAGUGAAAUGCGUAGAGAUGUGGAGGAACACCGAUGGCGAAGGCAGCCCCCUGGGCCAAUACUGACGCUCAUGCACGAAAGCGUGGGGAGCAAACAGGAUUAGAUACCCCAGUAGUCCUGUCUCUUAUACC
rnacentral:rRNA from 1 species